rnacentral:rRNA from 1 species
CCUACGGGGGGCUGCAGUAGGGACUCUUCCGCAAUGGAAGAAAGUCUGACGGAGCAACGCCGCGUGAGCGAAGAAGGUCUUCGGAUCGUAAAGCUCUGUUGUUAGGGAAGACCAAGUACGCGAGGAAAUGACCGUACCUUGACGGUACCUAAUGAGGAAGCCACGGCUAACUACGUGCCAGCAGCCGCAGUAAUACGUAGGUGGUAAGCGUUGUCCGGGAUCAUCGGGCGUAAAGCGCGCGCAGGCGGUCUUUUAAGUCUGAUGUUCAAUCUUGCGGCUCAACCGCAAGCGGUCAUUGGUAACUGUGAGACUUGAGUGUAGAAGAGUAAAUCGGGAUACCACGUGUAGCGGUGAAUGGCGUAUAGAGGUGGAGGAACACCAGGUGCGAAGGCGGGUUUCUGCUCUGUAACCGACGCUUAGGCGUGAAAGCGUUGGGAGCAAACAGGAGUAAGUACCCUAUUGGUC